AUGUUAUUCUUUCUACAAUGUAACCUUUGCAAGUAUAGCAUUUGAAGUUUAGUUGCCAGUGACGUGUGUGUCAAUUCUUCCUGAAUUAGAUGAGGUUCACUUCCUUCCUUUAAAUAUGAGGAAGCCAAGGCAAGGAGAAGAAAAGUGAAUUAACUAAGGAGAGAAAGCUAAGAGCAAAGUUCCUUGCUGAGUUUAGGAUAAAGAGACAGACGAGGAGGAACCCAAUUACUAGGGGACACCAUUAGGAUGAAAGAGCAGAAGUGUGGAACUGAAAAUGGGGAGCUCUAUCCACCCACGGAAUUGUCAACAGGUAUGCACGUAGCAUCAGCGACUCCGGGAGAGCUGACAGGCUAGGAGCCAGCUGUAGCUUACACUUGAAAAUAAUAAUAAUAUCCACUUAGGGGUAUGGAAUUAUUUAUCACCACUGGUGGAAUUUUUGCCAAAGGCAAGAAAUGAAAACAUCCGAUGAAAAAUCUCUUCAGUCCACAGCCCAUCACACUGACACACCAUACAAACUGAUUAACUCUCUGGCCAAGAAUAAACGGUACUAUAGUUAUUACUA
rnacentral:lncRNA from 1 species